rnacentral:rRNA from 1 species
AUUGAACGCUGGCGGCAGGCCUAACACAUGCAAGUCGAGCGGAUGAAGGGAGCUUGCUCCUGGAUUCAGCGGCGGACGGGUGAGUAAUGCCUAGAAAUCUGCCUGGUAGUGGGGGAUAACGUCCGGAAACGGGCGCUAAUACCGCAUACGUCCUGAGGGAGAAAGUGGGGGAUCUUCGGACCUCACGCUAUCAGAUGAGCCUAGGUCGGAUUAGCUAGUUGGUGGGGUAAAGGCCUACCAAGGCGACGAUCCGUAACUGGUCUGAGAGGAUGAUCAGUCACACUGGAACUGAGACACGGUCCAGACUCCUACGGGAGGCAGCAGUGGGGAAUAUUGGACAAUGGGCGAAAGCCUGAUCCAGCCAUGCCGCGUGUGUGAAGAAGGUCUUCGGAUUGUAAAGCACUUUAAGUUGGGAGGAAGGGCAGUAAGUUAAUACCUUGCUGUUUUGACGUUACCAACAGAAUAAGCACCGGCUAACUUCGUG